AACAGGUGUCUUCUGAGCGGCUUCUGAGGCGGGGGAACCGUCACGUGAGGGAACACACGGGGGAACCGGCUCGUUUUAACCGGUUCUGCCGAAUUUCCGUUCAACAAAAGGAGGCUGGGCGGACUUCUGCUUUUUAACAAACGCAGCCUGGGGGCAGAUUUAUAGUGUCUGGGUCACUCUGAUGUUACUGCUUCUCUACGUGAUGUACGAGCAAUUAAGAGGUAUCUAAGCAACCAGCUGAUCGCAUCUCAAAUACGCUCUUCACUUUAUUACGUGAAACUCCUUCAACUUCUGAUUGAUGUCAUGAGACAUCUAUAAAGACUGUGUAGUCUUCAACAGGUUAGCAUCAACAGCUUAGCAUCAACAGGUUAGCAUCAGCAUGUUAGCAUCAACAUGUUAGCAUCAACAGGUUGGCAUCAACAGGUUAGCAUCAACAGGUUAGCAUCAGCAGGUUAGCAUCAACAGGUUAGCAUCAACACGUAAGCAUCAGCAGGUUAGCAUCCACAGGUUAGCAUCAACACGUAAGCAUCAGCAGGUUAGCAUCCACAGGUUAGCAUCAGCAGGUUGGCAUCAACGGGUUAGCAUCAGCAGGUUAGCAUCAACAGGUUAGCAUCAACAGGUUAGCAUCAACAGGUUUACAUCAACAGGUUAGCAUCAGCAGGUUAGCAUCAGCAGGUUAGCGAAUGUGUUGUUUUGACUCUUGAAUCAUAUUUAAACAUGUGGCUCAAUAACAAGAGUUGACUGUCUCUGUUCAAGACUUACAAAAUAAACACGGAGCAGCGAGUGAUUAAAAGUAUCUCACAAACAACAAGGACAAGUUCCCUGUUUAGUACGAAAUAAACGGCUCCUCUGUAAACAAGUCCGGAGAGAAUCCUCUCAAAGGAUUCAAAUGUCAGUGAGAAAAGCACGCCGGCCAAGUGCCAAACAAUGUGGAAACAACAGUCAUUGCUUUGGUACCACAUGCCAAACAAGCAAUCAUGUUACUCUGCUCUUGUACUUUGUUAAACCGCCUUUAAUGGACUUCUGCCGGCCUUUCUUAAGACUCUGGAGCGCGUACAAUUUUAUUUAAUCAAAUAUUCGCUUCAACCGGUCCAAACUUGCGCCGCAUCUGUCAAAUAUGUAAGUUGUGGGAAGUUGAUGGCAGCGAGCUGCCAAAAAGAUGCGAGGCGGGUUCGCUGCAGCCCUUCCUGCUGUAGAAUGAACAAAAACAAACAGUUUAUUGCAGACUUCAAACAAACAUGGCACGAAACCAAGACCUAAAUGCACUCAAGAUGUGGCACCCGAGAGCCCGCGGACCGAAUCGCCUGUUCGGCAGAACUGAGCUCGCGUCUCCUCGGAUCCAAGCGGCAGCUCGGUAAUUAAAACAUCCUAAUAGGAGAGAGCAGGAGUCCAGACGAGGUGUCACCGGCUCCGAUUCAGCGUCCUGUGUUUUGGCCGAGGAAGGAGAAACACUCGACUCGACAGCGUUUAGAGGCCGAUUUUAAUGUCAAGCGUCUCGAUGAGACGGCGUCCAGACACGGCGUCCAGACACGGGAGGAACGUGUUGGUGCUGUUGUGUAAUUUCAUGGUUUUUCACUGUUAUGCAAAGCAAAGCAAUAAAACCAAAGUAAAAUACGAAUAGAUUUUUAUAUCAGAAUUCAAAGAAAUGGAGUUCUUUGUAAAGGACUUUUAGACAUAUUGUUAAAUAGAGCAGGUGUGUCACCUGAAAGUCACAAUGAUUCCGGAGGAGGUCCAACCUGACCAUUACUUUAUUAGUUAGAGCGACACAGUCAUUUAUUAUGCAGCAGAUGUUAAAUUGUUUUCCAGCUUCGGUCUUUCAGUAACGUUCACUUGGAAUCAACCAAACAGUGAGUGAUUCAUUCGCUGACUAAGGGCCCGUGGCUGCGUGAAGCAUAAGCGGUUUUACAAGAUUGAUUAAUUCUAAUUCCUUCACUCGAUCCCACCGGAUUUUAACUCAGUUUAUUGGUACAAUGCUGAAUUAUGGGAAGGAGAGAGCUACAGAGGACUCUGUGUGUGUGUGUGUGACGCUUUACACAAAGCUCACGCCAGGAACGAGUACAAACAGCCGCGGCCACAACGGCUUCGCUGCCAAACACUGGCUUUCUCAUCAACCUCGACCAACCACACGCAAACACAAGUGCGCUAACACACAAACAGACACACGCGGGCGGGGAGGCAAAGUGGCAAAGCAACGCAAACAGGUCAAAAACGCCAGAAAAGACAAAUACGAACACACGCGCGUGUGUGUGUGUGUGUGUGUGUGUGUAAGAAGCCGACCUUGUGGCUCACAUCCCCUUAAAUCACAACAACGUGAGAUUGAGCAGAAGCCGAACAAAUCACUGUCAUCCAAACCAAACAGCGACCCACAUCUCUGCCUCCGACCUUCUGGAGAGAAGAAAAACCCACAUUCAAGUAAAUACACAUCGUCAUGUCAAAACCUUCCCAUCCACUCGCUCAGUUUUUGCACAUGUUGAUUUAGAGGAAAAUGAUCCACGGCCGCCACAAGGGCUCACAGAGGGGAGCGGGUCACGGGGAGAUGAGGGUCCUGGGCGAGAGGUGGAGGGAUUUCCCCCGCCAUGUGACGGAGGACGGGGAGGAGGAGGAGGAGGAGGAGGAGGGAGUUGUUUUCGGAGCUGCUUUCCAUCCAGCAAGUUCCUGGAACGGGAGAGAGGAGCGAGGGGAGCUGGAGGCGGGCCGUCCUCCCCUGCACAUAAAUCCAACCGCGUCCCGGCGUCCCGGGCUCGGAGAGAGUCACGGAGGCCCGUAGGCCAGGGCGAUGUCUGCUCCGCCCCUCUGGACCCGGCGGCCCGGGGAUACGGAGGUGUUUCAGGGGCGGAGGCGGAGGUGACGGUAGUCCGGAGAGGGUCCACGUCCUGAACUUUUACAGCCUCAGGCUUUAGGGGGACGUUCUGUCAGCACUAACAAAAUAUAAUUAAAGAAUCAUAAUUAAAUGUGCCCAGAAUUAAAGUAAUUCAUAUACUUUUGCUCAUGAAAUCUUUUGAGCUGAUCUUAUGUUUUUAUUUGAAGAGCAGCUACAGCUCUAAAAUAAAUGUAGCAAUUAAGUAAUCAAGUAACUAAGCACAAUAUCACCCUGAUAGCAGCACGCAACCACCUACCUACAUUAAGUAUACUUAGCUUAGCUUAGCUUAUAUUCCACCACUCAGCGCUCUAGUAAUCCUGCAUCCCAGUAACUUGUUGGCACCAGUUCUACCAGAAACAGGGCAGGAAAUACAAAAUGGAGCCAAGCUGUGAUAACAUUUUUGCAACUGCCAAGACACUUAAAGUGGUACUUUUGGUCGUACGAAUGUACUGUAUCGUACAGCAAACUAGUGCACAUAAAAGUGUAACAAUAAAUAACAGGAGAUAUAAGUCCCUGAUGCAUGCGGCUGUUCUGCACGUGUGUUUUCACUUCACACUUGUGUUUUACAUUGAGCAAUAACUGGAAUUUAGAAACAUCUGUUCACACGGCCGAACACCAAAUAUCACAACGAGAACGAGAUUUUUUGUUCCACAGUUUCAUUUUUAUUUGAUUGAAUUUCUUUGUGCAUUUGAUACCUUAAUGAAUAAUGAAGCAGUAGUUUAUGGUUUCAAUCUCUACUUUUAGGACAUUAUGUACAUUAUGGUCAAUGUUCCGUCAAACAGACCAUGAGGCAGAGUGCUCUUUAGGGCGGGGCUUACUGUGAUUGACAGGUUGCAAUUCGCAAAAGGUUUGCAGGGAUGACGUGACAUGAAAAACUAUCCAGCAAUCAUCUUCCCUCCUCCCCCCGUCUUCUCCGGGUCGUCUGCCCGUCCCCCCCCCCCGUCCCCCCCGUCUCGCUUUGAGCGGUCGCAGGCCGCGCUCAGAGGAAGUGAUGCAGUCCAUCUGGGGUGGUCGUUAUCGGCGGAG
ensembl:lncRNA